rnacentral:rRNA from 1 species
AUUGAACGCUGGCGGCAGGCUUAACACAUGCAAGUCGAGCGGGGUGAUGGUGCUUGCACUAUCACUUAGCGGCGGACGGGUGAGUAAUGCUUAGGAAUCUGCCUAUUAGUGGGGGACAACAUCUCGAAAGGGAUGCUAAUACCGCAUACGUCCUACGGGAGAAAGCAGGGGAUCACUUGUGACCUUGCGCUAAUAGAUGAGCCUAAGUAGGAUUGGCUAGUUGGUGGGGUAAAGGCCUACCAAGGCGACGAUCUGUAGCGGGUCUGAGAGGAUGAUCCGCCACACUGGGACUGAGACACGGCCCAGACUCCUACGGGAGGCAGCAGUGGGGAAUAUUGGACAAUGGGGGGAACCCUGAUCCAGCCAUGCCGCGUGUGUGAAGAAGGCCUUAUGGUUGUAAAGCACUUUAAGCGAGGAGGAGGCUCUUUUGGUUAAUACCCAAGAUGAGUGGACGUUACUCGCAGAAUAAGCACCGGCUAACUCUGUGCCAGCCGCCGCGGUAA